UACGUAGGGUGCAAGCGUUAAUUGGAAUUACUGGGCGUAAAGCGUGCGCAGGCGGCUUUGCAAGACAGAUGUGAAAUCCCCGGGCUUAACCUGGGAACUGCAUUUGUGACUGCAUGGCUGGAGUGCGGCAAAGGGGGAUGGAAUUCCGCGUGUAGCAGUGAAAUGCGUAGAUAUGCGGAGGAACACCGAUGGCGAAGGCAAUCCCCUGGACCUGUACUGACGCUCAUGCACGAAAGCGUGGGGAGCAAACAGG
rnacentral:rRNA from 1 species